GGGUAAGUCUUACACGACCAGCUCCUGUUGAACCCUCCAGGGUCGGAAGGCAGCAAAGGUAAACGGUUGUAGCGGUGCGAUGUAAGUAGCUUACCCUUC
rnacentral:SRP_RNA from 1 species